AGGGGCCAGGGGGUGGGUCCCUCAGCCCAGAUUGUGAGAGGGUGCAGGCCAGGCCGAGGGACCCCACCGGGGCACA
rnacentral:pre_miRNA from 1 species